AACGCUGGCGGCGUGCCUAAUACAUGCAAGUCGAACGCACAGCGAAAGGUGCUUGCACCUUUCAAGUGAGUGGCGAACGGGUGAGUAACACGUGGAUAACCUACCUCAAGGUUGGGGAUAACAUUUGGAAACAGAUGCUAAUACCGAAUAAAACUUCGUAUCGCAUGAUACAAGGUUAAAAGGCGCUACGGCGUCACCUAGAGAUGGAUCCGUGGUGCAUUAGUUAGUUGGUGGGGUAAAGGCCUACCAAGACAAUGAUGCAUAGCCGAGUUGAGAGACUGAUCGGCCACAUUGGGACUGAGACACGGCCCAAACUCCUACGGGAGGCUGCAGUAGGGAAUCUUCCACAAUGGGCGAAAGCCUGAUGGAGCAACGCCGCGUGUGUGAUGAAGGCUUUCGGGUCGUAAAGCACUGUUGUAUGGGAAGAACAGCUAGAGUAGGGAAUGACUUUAGUUUGACGGUACCAUACCAGAAAGGGACGGCUAAAUACGUGCCAGCAGCCGCGGUAAUACGUAUGUCCCGAGCGUUAUCCGGAUUUAUUGGGCGUAAAGCGAGCGCAGACGGUUGAUUAAGUCUGAUGUGAAAGCCCGGAGCUCAACUCCGGAAAGGCAUUGGAAACUGGUCAACUUGAGUGCAGUAGAAGUAAGUGGAACUCCAUGUGUAGCGGUGGAAUGC
rnacentral:rRNA from 1 species